GAUGAACGCUGGCGGCGUGCCUAAUACAUGCAAGUCGAGCGAACAGACGAGGAGCUUGCUUCUCUGACGUUAGCGGCGGACGGGUGAGUAACACGUGGAUAACCUACCUAUAAGACUGGGAUAACUUCGGGAAACCGGAGCUAAUACCGGAUAAUAUUUUGAACCGCAUGGUUCAAAAGUGAAGGACGGUCUUGCUGUCACUUAUAGAUGGAUCCGCGCUGCAUUAGCUAGUUGGUAAGGUAACGGCUUACCAAGGCAACGAUGCGUAGCCGACCUGAGAGGGUGAUCGGCCACACUGGAACUGAGACACGGUCCAGACUCCUACGGGAGGCAGCAGUAGGGAAUCUUCCGCAAUGGGCGAAAGCCUGACGGAGCAACGCCGCGUGAGUGAUGAAGGUCUUCGGAUCGUAAAACUCUGUUAUUAGGGAAGAACAAAUGUGUAAGUAACUAUGCACGUCUUGACGGUACCUAAUCAGAAAGCCACGGCUAACUACGUG
rnacentral:rRNA from 1 species